GACGAACGCUGGCGGCGUGCCUAAUACAUGCAAGCAGAACGCUGAAGGGAGAGCUUGCUCUUCUGGAUGAGUUGCGAACGGGUGAGUAACGCGUAGGUAACCUGCCUGGUAGCGGGGGAUAACUAUUGGAAACGAUAGCUAAUACCGCAUAACAUUGACUAUUGCAUGAUAGUCAAUUAAAAGGUGCAAUUGCACCACUACCAGAUGGACCUGCGUUGUAUUAGCUAGUUGGUGGGGUAACGGCUCACCAAGGCGACGAUACAUAGCCGACCUGAGAGGGUGAUCGGCCACACUGGGACUGAGACACGGCCCAGACUCCUACGGGAGGCAGCAGUAGGGAAUCUUCGGCAAUGGACGGAAGUCUGACCGAGCAACGCCGCGUGAGUGAAGAAGGUUUUCGGAUCGUAAAGCUCUG
rnacentral:rRNA from 1 species